AGAGCCUUUCCCAAGCUGGAGGAGAAGGUGGGACAGCUGGAGAGGGCCUGCCGUGUGAAGGGCAGGCUGAAAGCCGGCUCCGAGAUGAACCUCCUGGCCAUCGGGAAGUCACUGAAGGGCCACAUCGCUGCCACCGCCAGCUCGGCCGGCUCCGAGGGAUCAUUCCUCAGGCCGCUGCUGAAACGCACCACGUCGGCGAGGAGCGCCCUGAAACCGCCCCCGUCGCCCGUCAUCGUGGAGAAGGGGAACGUGAGGCAGAAGAGGAAGGAGUGGGAGAUGAAGUCUGCGAUGUGACCGCCCGCCUGCAGACGGACCUGCUGGAGCAGGAGCCUCCCGGCUGCGCGUGGAUCGUGCAGGACCGGCCUGGAUUCAGCCUGGAAUCUGAUUUUUAUCCGUCCAGUAUCAACGCUACCACUACGCACAUCUAUUUUUUAUAUAUAGAUAUAUAGAUAUAUCCAUAUCAAAC